AUUUUCACUUCCAGUUCCUUUAAACUGUUUCUCUUGUAACAGGACCCAGGCCCAAGAGGUGUUGAACAUUUCUGAUGAGGAAUCAGGUACCUUCAACGUUAUGUGACUGCAGAGUGCACCCUGAAGCAGCUGAAACAAUAUUUGUAUGGACAGCACGAAAAACAUGAACAGCCACCAGCUACUUUUCUUUGUCUGGAAUAUCUCACAUAUCAAAAUGCCUCAUGAGAUAAACAGGAAGAAGAGUGAGAAAACAGUUUGAGCCACUGGGUAUCAGGCAGCAUGGUUGCUGUGCUAAUGAAAAUUUGGAACACCGUUGCAAACUGGAGUGUUUGGCAGAAGCAGGAAUUUCUCUGUGCUGUUUACGAGGUAUAUAAAAAGAGGAUGUGGAAGAGAAAGAAGGAAAGGCAAUAAGGAGUUAUUUCUUUGUAUGAGAACAAUCAAAUCUAUACAGAUCUGCAGAUGAUCCAGGAAACAGAAGGGUAAAGGCCUAUCAACUGAUAAAUGUGAUGGAGAAGGGAGCAAAAGAGG
rnacentral:lncRNA from 1 species